UACGGAGGGAGCUAGCGUUGUUCGGAAUUACUGGGCGUAAAGCGCACGUAGGCGGCUUUGUAAGUUAGAGGUGAAAGCCCGGGGCUCAACCCCGGAAUUGCCUUUAAGACUGCAUCGCUUGAAUCCGGGAGAGGUGAGUGGAAUUCCGAGUGUAGAGGUGAAAUUCGUAGAUAUUCGGAAGAACACCAGUGGCGAAGGCGGCUCACUGGACCGGUAUUGACGCUGAGGUGCGAAAGCGUGGGUAGCAAACAGG
rnacentral:rRNA from 1 species